rnacentral:rRNA from 1 species
UAGGGAAUCUUCGGCAAUGGGGGCAACACUGACCGAGCAACGCCGCGUGAGUGAAGAAGGUUUUCGGAUCGUAAAGCUCUGUUGUAAGAGAAGAACGUGUGUGAGAGUGGAAAGUUCACACAGUGACGGUAACUUACCAGAAAGGGACGGCUAACUACGUGCCAGCAGCCGCGGUAAUACGUAGGUCCCGAGCGUUGUCCGGAUUUAUUGGGCGUAAAGCGAGCGCAGGCGGUUUAAUAAGUCUGAAGUUAAAGGCAGUGGCUUAACCAUUGUUCGCUUUGGAAAAUGUUAAACUUGAGUGCAGAAGGGGAGAGUGGAAUUCCAUGUGUAGCGGUGAAAUGCGUAGAUAUAUGGAGGAACACCGGUGGCGAAAGCGGCUCUCUGGUCUGUAACUGACGCUGAGGCUCGAAAGCGUGGGGAGCAAACAGG